rnacentral:rRNA from 1 species
GUAUGGUUUAGUUAAUAAAUUAAAGUCGGGGUAAUAAUUCUUUGAUCUGCUAGGGGACGAUAAGACCCUAGAAGCUUUAAAAAAGAAAAAUUUUUAGUGAGUGUAGAUAGUUUUUACUGGGGCGGUGUCGGUGUUUAAACUACCAAUAAUAGAGGAGGAUCCUUAAUAUAAAGAUAUUUCGGUUAAGUUACUCUAGGGAUAACAGUGCGGUAAUUUUGGAAAGGUCUUAUUAAUAAAAAUGUUCGCAACCUCGAUGUUGAAUUAGGAUGUCUACGUGGUGCAGUAAAUAUAGUAGAGGGUUUGUUCAACCUUUAUAGUCUUACAUG